rnacentral:rRNA from 1 species
UCCGUAGGUGGAUAAUUAAGUCAGAGGUGAAAUCCUGCAGCUCAACUGUAGAAUUGCCUUUGAUACUGGUUAUCUUGAGUUAUUAUGAAGUAGUUAGAAUAUGUAGUGUAGCGGUGAAAUGCAUAGAUAUUACAUAGAAUACCAAUUGCGAAGGCAGAUUACUAAUAAUAUACUGACACUGAUGGACGAAAGCGUGGGGAGCGAACAGGAUUAGAUACCCUGGUAGUC